UACGGAGGGGGCUAGCGUUGUUCGGAAUUACUGGGCGUAAAGCGUGCGUAGACGGUAGCGUAAGUCAGAUGUGAAAGCCCCGGGCUCAACCUGGGAACUGCAUUUGAGACUGCUCUGCUCGGGUGCGGAAGAGGGAAGCGGAAUUUCCGGUGUAGCGGUGAAAUGCGUAGAUAUCGGAAGGAACACCAGUGGCGAAAGCGGCUUCCUGGUCUGCGACUGACGCUGUGGCGCGAAAGCUAGGGGAGCGAACGGG
rnacentral:rRNA from 1 species